CAGCGCCACAAGUGGCAAUCACGUUUAUUGGGCCUAAAGCGUACGUAGCCGGUUUAGCAAAUCUUUUGUGAAAUCGUCAGGCUUAACUUGACGAAUUGCAGAAGACACUACUAAACUAGGGACUGGGAGGAGUCAGAAGUAUUCUGGGGGGACCGGUAAAAUGGUAUAAUCCCCAGAGGACUACCGAUGGCGAAGGCAUCUGACCAGAACAGAUCCGACGGUGAGGGACGAAAGCCAGGGGAGCAAACCGGAUUAGAGACCCGAGUAGUCC
rnacentral:rRNA from 1 species